rnacentral:lncRNA from 1 species
UUUAUUCAUCUCUAUUUAUAUGUUGAAAUAUACAGAAUCAUGAAUCCCCAUGAUUGAUUUUGAUUUUGCUUAAUUGAUGGUAAUUUAAAGAUCUUCUUUUAAAGCCCUAAAAGCUUUACCUCGAUUGUUUAAAUUAACUGAUUUUAUUACGUUAUUUACCAUGGUAAUUCGUUUUUACUUAGUCUUUCCUUCAUUGGGUUUUUUUGAAUUUGGUCCUAGUUGGAUACUCUAUACCUACUCAACCUUGACUC